rnacentral:rRNA from 1 species
UACGAGUGGUGCAAGCGUUAUUCGGAUUUAUUGGGCGUAAAGGGUGCGCAGGCGGUAUAUUAAGUCAACUGUUAAAUACCUCAGCCUAACUGAGGACCAGCGGUAGAUACUGGUAUACUAGAGGGUGGAAGAGAGAAGUGGAAUUCUUGGAGUAGCGGUAAAAUGCGUAGAUCUCAAGAGGAACACCGAUGGCGAAGGCAGCUUCUUGGUCCACAUCUGACGCUCAUGCACGAAAGCGUGGGGAGCAAACAGG